GGGUAAUCACCAGCUUAACUGGUUGAAUUCUGCAGAGACUGCCAGACUAGGGACCGGGAGAGGUGUGGGGUACUCUCGGGGUAGGGGUAAAAUCCUGUCAUCCUGAGCGGACCACCUGUUGCGAAGGCGCCACACUAGAACGGAUCCGACGGUCAGGGACGAAGCCUAGGGGCACGAACCGGAUUAGAUACCCGGGUAGUCCUAGGUGUAAACGCUGUGGACUUGGUGUUGGGGACUCUCCGAGAUUCCUCAGUGCCGAAGCGAAGGUGAUAAGUCCACUGCCUGGGGAGUACGGUCGCAAGGCUGAAACUUAAAGGAAUUGGCGGGGGAGCACCGCAACCUGAGGAUUGUGCGGUUUAAUUGGAUUCAACGCCGGAAAACUCACCAGUGCCGACGGACAAAUGAAAGCCAGUGUGAUGAGCUUGCUGGAUUGUUCGAGAGGUAGUGCAUGGCCGCCGUCAAUUCGUACCGUAAGGCGUUCUGUUAAGUCAGAUAACGAACGAGACCCUCAUCCCUAUUUGCUAAGGUCAGUCCGCUGAUCACAGGACUAUAGGGAGACCGCUGGCGCGAAGUCAGAGGAAGGCGAGGGCAACGGUAGGUCAGUAUGCUCCGAAUGCAUUGGGCUACACGCGCAAUACAAAGGACGGGACAAUGGGCCGCUGCGCCGAGAGGCAUGUGGCUAUCCCGAAACCCGUUCGUAGUUCGGAUUGAGGGCUGUAACUCGCCCUCAUGAAGCUGGAUUAGGUAGUAAUCGCGUCUCAAAAAGGCGCGGUGAAUAUGUCCCUGCUCCUUGCAC
rnacentral:rRNA from 1 species